rnacentral:rRNA from 1 species
CUUGCCGUUGAUACUGUCAGACUAGAAUAUAAAUGGAGUAGGCGGAAUGAAUCAUGUAGAGGUGACAUUCAUAGAUAUGAUUUAGAACACCGUUCGCGAAGGCGGCUUACUAAGAUAUAAUUGACGCUGAGGCACGAAAGCGUGGGUAUCGAACAGGAUUAGAUACCCUGGUAGUCCACGCUGUAAACUAUGAUAACUCGUUGUCGGCGAUAAACAGUCGGUGACCAAGCGAAAGCGAUAAGUUAUCCACCUGGGGAGUACGAUCGCAAGGUUGAAACUCAAAGGAAUUGACGGGGGCCCGCACAAGCGGAGGAGCAUGUGGUUUAAUUCGAUGAUACGCGAGGAACCUUACCUAGACUUGAACGUAACAGUAAUAAUGUAGAAAUAUAUUAGCUAGCAAUAGACUGUUACGAGGUGCUGCAUGGUUGUCGUCAGCUCGUGCCGUGAGGUGUCAGGUUAAGUCCUAUAACGAGCGCAACCCUUACACUUAGUUGCCAGCAUAUAAAGAUGGGGACUCUAAGUGGACUGCCUGCGUAAGCAGAGAGGGAAGGUGGGGAUGACGUCAAAUCAGCACGGCCCUUACGUCUAAGGCGACACACGUUGCUACAAUGGUAGGUACAGAGGGCAGCUACACAGCGAUGUGAUGCCAAUCUCAAAAGCCUAUCUCAGUUCGGAUCGGAGUCUGGCACCCCGA